rnacentral:rRNA from 1 species
UACGUAGGGUGCAAGCGUUGUCCGGAAUUAUUGGGCGUAAAGAGCUCGUAGGCGGUCUGUCGCGUCUGCUGUGAAAACUCGGGGCUUAACCCCGGGCCUGCAGUGGGUACGGGCAGACUAGAGUGCGGUAGGGGAGACUGGAAUUCCUGGUGUAGCGGUGAAAUGCGCAGAUAUCAGGAGGAACACCGGUGGCGAAGGCGGGUCUCUGGGCCAUAACUGACGCUGAGGAGCGAAAGCGUGGGGAGCAAACAGG